GGAUGAGAAUGCUCGUGAAUGUGCACUCGAUGAGCUGCCAUUGGAGCAGGAGAAGGAGAAAUGGUGAAUGGAGAUGGCGAGGGCGACGGAGAUGGCGAAGGCGAAAGAUCUGAUGGGCUUUGAUUUCCCAAUUUGAGUUAGCAAUCGAAAUGUGAGAUUUCUCCAAUGAAAAAGGCAUCGAAAUGAAGACAACAAUCAUGAAAACACACUUCAAAACACAACCCAUUUUCUCUUCAAUCAAGUUCUCAUCAAAACCGAAGAAGAUUCCAUAGCAAAGAGGAAGAGGAACAUGAAGAAGAGAGUCUUUAAUGCUACUCCAAGGAACCUCUCUGAACAUGGCAGUUGUUUGUUUUUGGGUAUGUAAAUUGACCUUCCUUACUUUUCUUUCGAUUCACUCUUUAUUUUUCUCUUCAGUCAUUAGCCCCAUAAUCCUCAUCUGCAGAAACACCAUUAAAAAGUUCACUUUCACUAAACUCAAAACUCCAAUCUGUUGUCUUGUUUUGUUUCUUCUGCUUUGUGUUAGAAAAAAGUUAAACAUA